GACGAACGCUGGCGGCGUGCUUAACACAUGCAAGUCGAACGGAAAGGCCCCUUUGGGGGUCCUCGAGUGGCGAACGGGUGAGUAACACGUGAGUAACCUGCCCUUGACUUCGGGAUAACUUCAGGAAACUGGGGCUAAUACCGGAUAGGAAUCCUUGCUGCAUGGUGGGGGUUGGAAAGCUUCGGCGGUUUUGGAUGGACUCGCGGCUUAUCAGCUUGUCGGUGGGGUAGUGGCUUACCAAGGCUUUGACGGGUAGCCGGCCUGAGAGGGCGACCGGCCACAUUGGGACUGAGAUACGGCCCAGACUCCUACGGGAGGCAGCAGUGGGGAAUAUUGCACAAUGGGCGGAAGCCUGAUGCAGCAACGCCGCGUGCGGGAUGACGGCCUUCGGGUUGUAAACCGCUUUCAGCAGGGGCGAAGCUUGUGGUGACGGUACCUGCAGAAGAAGCACCGGCUAACUACGUG
rnacentral:rRNA from 1 species